rnacentral:rRNA from 1 species
AUUCCAGCUCCAAUAGCGUAUAUUAAAGUUGUUGCAGUUAAAAAGCUCGUAGUUGGACUUCUGAUUCGAAAGAUCGGUCCGCCGCAAGGCGAGCACUGAUUCUUCGAGUCUUCCUCUCGUAGUUGUUUGGCGCACUUGAUUGGGUGCCAGAUGAAUAUGGGACCUUUACUUUGAAAAAAUUAGAGUGUUCAAAGCAGGCAAUCGCUUGAAUACAUUAGCAUGGAAUAAUAGAAUAGGACUUUGGUUCUAUUUUGUUGAUUUCUAGGACCGAGGUAAUGAUUAAUAGGGACAGUUGGGGGUAUCCGUAUUUCGUAGUCAGAGGUGAAAUUCUUGGAUUUACGAAAGACGAACUACUGCGAAGCAUUUACCAAGGAUGUUUUCAUCG